rnacentral:rRNA from 1 species
CCUACGGGAGGCAGCAGUGAGGAAUAUUGGUCAAUGGACGAGAGUCUGAACCAGCCAAGUAGCGUGAAGGAUGACUGCCCUAUGGGUUGUAAACUUCUUUUAUAUGGGAAUAAAAUGUUCCACGUGUGGGAUUUUGUAUGUACCAUAUGAAUAAGGAUCGGCUAACUCCGUGCCAGCAGCCGCGGUAAUACGGAGGAUCCGACUGUUAUCCGGAUUUAUUUGGUUUAAAGGGAGCGUAGGUGGAUUGUUAAGUCAGUUUUGAAAGUUUGCGGAUCAACCGUAAAAUUGCAGUUGAAACUGGCAGUCUUGAGAACAGUAGAGGUGGGCGGAAUUCGUGGUGUAGCGGUGAAAUGCUGAGAUAUCACGAAGAACACCGAUUGAGAAGGCAGUUCACUGGACUGCAACUGACACUGAGGCUCGAAAGUGUGGGUAUCAAACAGGAUUAGAUACCCGUGUAGUC